rnacentral:rRNA from 1 species
GACGAACGCUGGCGGCGUGCUUAACACAUGCAAGUCGAACGGAGUGGCGAACGGGUGAGUAACACGUGGGUGAUCUGCCUUGCACUUCGGGAUAAGCUUGGGAAACUGGGUCUAAUACCGGAUAGUGCAAGAUGAGCUCGCGGCCUAUUAGCUUGUUGGGGGGGUAAUGGCCUACCAAGGCGUCGACGGGUAGCCGGCCUGAGAGGGUGUACGGCCACAUUGGGACUGAGAUACGGCCCAGAGUCCAACGGGAGGCAGUGGUGGGGAAUAUUGCACAAUGGGGGGAAGUCUGAUGCGGCGACGCUGGGUGGGGGAUGAAGGUCUUCGGGUUGGAAACUCCUUGCGACAGGGACGCGGUACCUGUAUAAGAAGCACCGGCUAACUACGUGCCAGCAGCCGCGGUAAUUC